GUAGUACUCCCUCCGUUCGGAAUUACUUGUCGUAGAAAUAGAUGUAUCUAGAUGUAUUUUAGUUUUAGAUGCAUCCAUUUCCGAGACAAGUAAUUCCGAACGGAGGGAGUACGAC
rnacentral:pre_miRNA from 1 species